rnacentral:lncRNA from 1 species
AUGCCCAAGAGAAAGGCUAAAGGGGAUGCUAAAGGAGACAAAGCCAAGGUGAAGGACGAACCAUAGAGAAGAUCCACAAGGUUGUCUGCUAAACCUGCUCCUCCAAAGCCACAGCCCAAGCCUAAAAAGGCCCCUGCAAAGAAGGGAGAGAAGAUACCCAAAGGGAAAAAGGGAAAAGCUGAUGCUGGCAAGGAGGGGAAUAACCCUGCAGAAAAUGGAGAUGCCAAAACAGACCAGGCACAGAAAGCUGAAGGUGCUGGAGUUGCCAAG